GUGCGGCGCAUGCGCCUGGGGAGGAGGAGGGCGUGGCAGAAAGGAUUGACGUCUGACGCGCGCCUUCCGGGUGUCAGAGUUAGUGUCGGCUGCCUCAGUCCUGGAGGUGGGUUCUCUCGCCGUCCCAGCUCCACAGAUGUGGGAACCGAAGGGCAGAGAGGUUAAACUAGUGUCCCGAGUGAGCGGUCGACCUGGGGUUCGAAUCCUCUUUCCCUGAGGUUCAAGCCUGUGCUCUCUUCCUGGACCAGCGCGUUUCUUUAGGAGCUGAUGGAGGAAAGCGCGCGGAACAAUAAGGCCUUGGAGGCUGGAGAACACAUCCUUAUCACCGCCUCACACGCCUAGGCGCGAGAGCUCACAAGCUCACUUUUAUAACAACUUUCUUGGUAGCGGGCUUAGAGCUUGAAAGCACAGGCUUUGUGGACGGCCAGAGCUGGAGACAAGUCCUGGGUCUGCUACUGACCAUGUGACACUCUAAGUUAAUUUCCCUGAGACUCCAGCUCCUCAUCUGUAAAGUGGAGUGCCUGAGGACAAAUAGGAAUUCUCACUGGUUUCCAGGACUACCUUGGGGCAGGGGUGAAGAGAAUGCUACUGCGCAAGAAAAACCCAAUAGGAAAUUACAGAAGGCUCUAAGUGAUACGGUAAAAAUUCUCCUUCCACCCCAGUCCUCAGCCUCCAACUUCUUUCAAAGGCAACCCAUGCUACCAGUUUCCUGUGGAUCCUGCCAGAGACUUAAACCAAUUAAUAACAUACUACACAGAGCACUGUUUUUAUUUAUCACAUUUUCGAGAUUGUUCCAUGUCCAUAUAUAAAGACUUUCCAACUUGUACUCCCCUAAUUCUAUUCUAAAAAAAAAAAAUUUUUUUUUCGAGACAGUCUCACUCUG